ACAGGGUGGAUGGAAGGGCAUGCUUAUCCAAAGAAGCAGCCCUGCGCUCCUGGUUUGGAAUUUCCAUCUGAGCCCCGUGCUGGGCUGCCAGCCAGCAUAGCUCAUCCUAUCAGGCUGCCUUGCAGCUGGAAGUCCACAGGAGGCACUUACCUUCCAUCAGGCUGUAUCUGGAGCACCCACUUCUUGUGCUGUGGGAAAUCUUUUCUGCAAAGUCUACCCUUCCUCGAGUUUCCAAGAUAAAUGGCCUCCCCCUGUCCACAUGGGAUUUUUGUGUCCACAGCUGUUUUCAUUUUAUUUUGUGUCUGGGAUUUCACCAACAUCGUGUAAUUUUCACAUUUUCCUAAACUGAGCUGUUUCAGGAACUUCUACUUCUGCUUUGCUGCUACAUCACAGGAGUAGUCUCUGUUUUCCUUAAAGGGCAGAAUUGUAAAGCUUUGAAAGACAGCUUUGUAACUCAUUUUCAGGUUCUUGCGCCUUUUGGAUAUUCAGCCAUGCUCUUCAUCAUUCAAACAUAUUUGCUCAGAUAUGGAGAAGAAUGAAACUUUGAAGAAGAGAAUGACUUGCAGUUUUCUGGUUCCACAUGCAAAGAGCUUGGAAGUAGUCAUUCCAUUCUAACAAUAAGUAAAAAUCUGGACAAACUGAAACAUUGACAACUCUUCUUAGAUCCCUCAGGCAAUUUAGGUCACAGAUAAAAACCACUACUCCCAAACUGAAGAAAGACAAUCAAUACUGAUAUUGAAGAAGACAGUCAAUACUGAUAUCACAACUUACUGGAACAGAAACCUAAGAAUUGAAGCCUCCACAGGAAACAGUCCUGGAGCAGAAAAACCUGAAUUCUAAUUGAUGAAUUCCUAGAGGCUCAGUGUGGAAGUCUGAGAGUAAAAAACUACAAAGGGCCCCAGUCAUUGGGAGGCCCCCAGAUUUUUGUAAGUUUGACCUCCAGGAGCUCUGCCAGGUUCUCAUGGUGAGCAGCAGAAAUCAAUCCCCUUGUGCUUUCAACAGGGGAGAGAAAAAGAACCAUUCUGAAACAUGCAAGAGCAUUUGUUCUUAACAACACCUGCCACAACAAGAAACUAUUUAGCCAAAGAUUAAUGUGUUGAGGUUCCAUCAUAUCAUAACUGACUUGGAAGAAGAAAAAAUGUUCAACUCAAGCCCCUUCUAGUCUUCUACUGGGAGGAAGGAAAUACCCAACUCCAGCUCACUCUAGACCCCUGUCUCACCUAAGGGGGAGGAAGACUGAGAAACACCUGUGAAGUCCACAACCCAGCACCUUCCUACCACAUUAGUAAAGUCCUGUAUACACUAGUUCCUUUUACCUGGUACAUCAUGCGCAGCUUUCAAGAAAAGAUUACAAGGCAAAUUAAAGAAAAAAAAACAUUUGAAGAGACAGAGUAAGCAUGAAAACCAGACAGGGAUGUUGGAUGUUGGCAGAGAUGUUGGAAUUCGACUGGGAAUUUAAAAUAACUAUGAUAAAUAUGC
rnacentral:lncRNA from 1 species